rnacentral:rRNA from 1 species
AUUGAACGCUGGCGGCAGGCCUAACACAUGCAAGUCGAGCGAGCGGCGGACGGGUGUGUAAUGUAUGUGGACUGCCCGUUAGAGGGGGGUAACUACUGGAAACGGUGGCUAUUACACCACACUACCGGAUAACCCACAUGGGAGUAGCUCGUAGGGGAGGUAAUGGCUCACCAAGGCGACGAUCCCUAUCUGGUCUGAGAGGAUGAUCAGCCACACUGUGAUUGAGACACGGCCCAGACUCUUACGGAGGCAGCAGUGGGGAAUAUUGCACAAUGGGCGCAAGCCUGAUGCAGCCAUGCCGCGUGUAUGAAGAAGGCCCUAGGGUUGUAAAGUACUUUCAGUCGGGAGGCGUUACCGACAGAAGAAGCACCGGCUAACUCCGUGCCAGCAGCCGCGGUAAUAC